AUGAACGCUAGCGAUAGGCUUAACACAUGCAAGUCGAGGGGCAGCACAAGGUAGCUUGCUAUCUGGGUGGCGACCGGCGCACGGGUGCGUAACGCGUAUGCAACUUGCCCUAUACAGGAGGAUAACCCGUCGAAAGACGGACUAAUACUGCGUAUGCUCACAACUUGGCAUCAAGUGGUGAGGAAAGAAAUUCGGUAUAGGAUAGGCAUGCGUCCCAUUAGCUUGUUGGUGAGGUAACGGCUCACCAAGGCAACGAUGGGUAGGGGAACUGAGAGGUUUAUCCCCCACACUGGUACUGAGACACGGACCAGACUCCUACGGGAGGCAGCAGUGAGGAAUAUUGGUCAAUGGGCGCGAGCCUGAACCAGCCAAGUCGCGUGAAGGAUGACUGUCUUAUGGAUUGUAAACUUCUUUUAGACGGGAAUAACAAGAGUCACGUGUGACUCCCUGCAUGUACCGUAUGAAUAAGCAUCGGCUAACUCCGUG
rnacentral:rRNA from 1 species